rnacentral:rRNA from 1 species
CCAGCACCCGCGGUAAUUCCAGCUCCAAUAGCGUAUAUUAAAGUUGCUGCAGUUAAAAAGCUCGUAGUUGGAUUUCUGGCUCGAUAUAUUUUACCGGCCACGGUUUCGUGUGUUAGUGCUUGAUAUUCUGGCCAUCCUUCCAAUGGCUAUUCAUCCUUCUUCAUUGAGGUGGUGAGUGGUAUUGGAUCUUUUACUUUGAAAAAAUUAGAGUGUUUCAAGCAGGCUUUAUGCUAUGAAUACAUUAGCAUGGAAUAAUAAUUUAGGACUUCGGUUCUAUUUUGUUGGUUUCUAGGACUGAAGUAAUGAUUGAUAGGGAUAGUUGGGGGUAUUCGUAUUCAAUUGUCAGAGGU